UUUUGUUACUUUUGAGUCUAUUGAGUGCAUACUGGGAUAUAUUCCUUAAUAUAAAUCAAGGACAGCACAAGUCCUAAAAACACACAUAGUGAGAAUGUGUAUAAAAUAUCUGAGGUCCGUGAUGAGUGGUAAACAAAGCUCAGUUGGCACCAAGGGGAUUAAGCAGGAUGCUGCCCCAAAUACUUGCGGCACCUGCAAAGUAUCCACAGUGACACUCCAUCAGGUCCAGGGGCCUUCCUAACAUCUAGUCCCUCCAUCUGUUUCUGGACAUCCUCUUCAGUCACUUGGAUUUCCCCCAGACUCCUACACCAGCUUUGGAGUCCUCAUCUGGGGAGGGUACCAUAAAUGUCCUCAGGAAAUGGAUCCUUCGUCAUUCUACAGCAGUCGUUUUGAGCAAGAAAGCUCUGAUGAAGAUUUCAUUCCCUCCAAUUUGAGCGACUCAAGUAACAGUGAAGAAAGUGAAGCAGGAGGAGAGACAGAAGAUGAUGAUGGAUCAGAUGAAGUAGAGGGGAAGACAGAUGAUGAUUCUGUACCAGCCAUACAGGGAUGGGGGCCUGUUUCUUCCAAACAGCAUUCCUAUACCUUUAGUAGUAAAAAAGAGCUGGUUAUUUUGCCUCAAGUAAACUCAGUCACAGGCAAACCAUUAUUGAUAUGUGUAAAUAAUUCAUAAGUGAUGCUCUUUUGGACACAACAGUUAAUCAGCCAAAUGUAUAUGCUCAACAAAAAAUAAAUAGCACCACUGACAAGGA